GACGAACGCUGGCGGCGUGCUUAACACAUGCAAGUCGAACGGAAAGGCCCUGCUUGCAGGGUGCUCGAGUGGCGAACGGGUGAGUAACACGUGGGUGAUCUGCCCCUUACUUUGGGAUAAGCCUGGGAAACUGGGUCUAAUACUGGAUAGGACCAUGCUGUAGGUGGUGUGGUGGAAAGAUUAGUUUCGGUAAGGGAUGAGCUCGCGGCCUAUCAGCUUGUUGGUGGGGUAAUGGCCUACCAAGGCGUCGACGGGUAGCCGGCCUGAGAGGGUGGACGGCCACAUUGGGACUGAGAUACGGCCCAGACUCCUGCGGGAGGCAGCAGUGGGGAAUAUUGCACAAUGGGCGCAAGCCGGAUGCAGCGACGCCGCGUGGGGGAUGACGGCCUUCGGGUUGUAAACUCCUUUCAGCCAUGACGAAGCCCUUGUGGUGACGGUAGUGGUAGAAGAAGCACCGGCUAACUACGUG
rnacentral:rRNA from 1 species